AUGGGCCCUGAUUGUAUCCCCAUUGAGGUGUGGAAAGGUCUCGGGGACAUAGCGAUAGUAUGGCUAACCAAGCUUUUCAACCUCAUUUUUCGGGCAAAUAAGAUGCCAGAAGAAUGGAGACGGAGUAUAUUAGUACCAAUCUUCAAGAACAAGGGGGAUGUUCAGAGUUGUACUAAUUACCGUGGAAUUAAGCUGAUGAGCCAUACAAUGAAGCUAUGGGAGAGAGACAUUGAGAACCGCUUAAGAAGAAUGACAAGCGUGACCAAAAAUCAAUUUGGUUUCAUGCCUGAGAGGUCGACCAUGGAAGCCAUUUUCUUGGUACGACAACUUAUGGAGAGAUAUAGGGAGCAAAAGAAGGACUUGCACAUGGUGUUCAUUGACUUGGAGAAGGCCUAUGAUAAGAUACCACGGAAUGUCAUGUGGUGGGCCUUGGAGAAACACAAAGUCCCAGCAAAGUACAUUACACUCAUCAAGGACAUGUACGAUAAUGUUGUGACAAGUGUUUGA
rnacentral:rRNA from 1 species